rnacentral:rRNA from 1 species
CCUACGGGGGGCAGCAGUGAGGAAUAUUGGUCAAUGGGAGAGAUCCUGAACCAGCCAAGCCGCGUGAGGGAAGACGGCCCUAUGGGUUGUAAACCUCUUUUGUCGGAGAACAAAACCCGGGACGUGUCCCGGACUGCGUGUAUCCGAAGAAAAAGCAUCGGCUAACUCCGUGCCAGCAGCCGCGGUAAUACGGAGGAUGCGAGCGUUAUCCGGAUUUAUGGGGUUUAAGGGGUGCGUAGGGGGUCCGUUAAGUCAGCGGGGAAAUGGCGGGGCUGAACCCCGUCGAGCCGUUGAAACUGGCAGACUUGAGUUGGCGAGAGGUACGCGGAAUGCGGGGUGGAGCGGUG